rnacentral:rRNA from 1 species
UGCCCAACAGCUAGCCCCCUCAAAACAGAAACAACAACCCCAUAUUAAUACCCCUAAAUACACUAAUAUUUAUAUUAAACAAACCAUUUUUCCCCCUAAGUAUGUGCGACAGAAAAGGGCAUGUGGAGCGAUAGAGAAAGUACCGCAAGGGAACGCUGAAAGAGAAGUGAAAUAACCCAGUGAAGCCUAAAAAAGCAGAGAUUUUACCUCGUACCUUUUGCAUCAUGAUUUAGCCAGUGUAGCCCAAGCAAAGAGCACUUUAGUUUGAUAACCCGAAACUAAGUGAGCUACUCCAAGACAGCCUAUUAAUAGGGCAAACCCGUCUCUGUGGCAAAAGAGUGGGAAGAGCUUUGAGUAGAGGUGACAGACCUACCGAACUUAGUUAUAGCUGGUUGCCUGGGAAUUGGAUAGAAGUUCAGCCUCCCGAAUUCUUUAUUCACAUCAGUCUCACCCCUCCUGAUACCCCUAAGAAGCCGAGAGAGUUAGUCAAAGGGGGUACAGCCCCUUUGAACCAAGACACAACUUUUCCAGGAGGGUAAAGAUCAUA